rnacentral:tRNA from 2 species
GCGCCGCUAGCUCAACUGGCAGAGCAGGGGACUCUUAAUCCCAAGGUUCUAGGUUCGACUCCUAGGCGGCGCA